AUGAUGAGUGCCCACCCCUCCUCCAGCCCCACCGCUCUCCGAGCAGACCUUCUGGGACCCGUCACCGCAGCCUGGUCCUCUUGGGCCCCAGGAGAGCGAGACAGUGAAGCUCAGCCUAGUGUUGAGACUGUCACCUCCGUCCUGCCAAGCUGUAGGCCCUGCACAUCUGCUUCCCCACUGUCAACCAUUGGACACAGACUCCAGGUCUUCUGCUCCAAGUCAAAUCAGCCCUCCCGCAGUGAAGAUCUGAUUUUAUAGUUGGCCUCACUCAGAACCACAGAGCAUCGGACCCCAGAGAGGAGGCAGGGGCCCAGGCUGGGCUUGCAGUGCUCACACAGAAGGGCAAGAGCGACCUCUCUCAGACUUGCUGAUCCCAGGAAGCCAGGCCCAAGAGCCAGCUGAGCGAGCGGGGUCAGGCGUGAAGUUGCGGCUGUGACCGGUGCAGGGGUGGCAGAGACCAGAGGUGGGUCAUGGUUGAUGAGCCGCUGACACGCCCCUUCUUCCCUUGAUAAACUGUGAAAUCCAUUUGUCCUUGGCCAGGAUGAACUCAGCCAGGCGAUUGCUGUCACUUUUCUGGGCGUCUGCAGAGGGGGUUGGAGGAGGAGGAGAGGUGCCUGUCUAAGGCCCAGAUGCUGGCCUGUCUCCCAACACGCGACCCCGGGAGUUUGCUUGUCUUUCUGCCUUUUCCCUUCCUGGGGAGAAAAUGGAAAUAAUUUCCUUUGAAACGUGACAUUUCCUAAUCCGGCACCCGGCCUGGCUGACAGCAGGAUUAGCGCACGGGCUGCCGAGCCUGGCU
rnacentral:lncRNA from 1 species